AUGUGGCGCUGCAAGAGCGGAGUCGAGCUGGCUGCUCUCAGCCCUUCGCCAUUCUGGGAACUACUAGCCUUCGUGGGGCGAGAACCCGGCAUGGAGUGGCUGCUGCGUAGUUCUAGUGACUGCACUGGACUGUUGGGUUCAAGCAGGCAGGAGCCUGCCAGUGGGGAUAGAGUGGAUGAACUCAGCCGUGUUUCUGAGAAGCAUCCCUUGGGUCCUUGGCCCCUGAAGACGCUUAUGUUACUAGAGGACUCAGGAAGUAACCACCAAUGGCAGCUCUACUGUGAGGGCCUGAAGAAUUUUCUUGCCUUUAGAGAAGGCAUGGCACUGCCUGCAGUUUGGCCAGUUCCAGUGGGACAAGUGAAAGAGUUCUUGGUCUUCAUGGAGUCCCAGGAUCUGCUUCCCACAAAAAUGAUAACGUACAUCGAAGGAUUAUCCUUCAUCUCCAAAAUGGUAGAUCAUCCUGAUCCUCUUCAAGACCCUGCUGUCUGUCACAUGAUAUCAAGAUUGAAAUAUAGGACUGCCCCUUCAAAGGAUGGAUACUCUCCUGUAACAAUUGAAGUGUUAAGAUCUCUAUUGGGAACUCUGGAAUCUGUGUGUAGUUCUCCUUAUGAGUGUAUAUUGUUUCAUGCCUUAUUUACUGUAGCUUUUUGGGGGGCACUAUGUACAGAAGAAAUAGUGGCAAAUCACAGAAAUGUAGUGCAGCCAAAGCUCUUGUACUUGAGUGAUCUCCAGCUGACUGGCUGGAGUGCAAACCUUCACUUGCAUACAUCUCAUAUAGGUCAAGAAAGAUCUUUGGUCCAACUGAGACUUUCAAGGGAGAUGUGGGUAUGUCCUAUUGAAGCUCUUCAUGUCUAUGUGGCAGCAAGGCCGCAAGGAGAGGGUCCACUCUUUGUGCAUUUGGAUAGUAAGCCUGUGACAAAGAGGGAGUUCCUAAAUGUCUUCCGACGUGCUCUUGGCCUUGCUGGACAUCCUCCAAAUCAGUAUGGUGUGUAUUCCUUCUGGCUGGGGGCUCUUGUAACAGCAUGGUCUUCGUGUGUAUUCUGAUAAAGCCAUUGACAGAAUAGCAAGGUGGUGAUGAGUUGGUUGGAAGAGGACAUAAUUAUAGCUAUCUGUUGGACUUCUGUGGUUAUACUUAUCUUCUGCAAUGCAGAGAUAUUUUCAAAUGAAUAUAGUUUCAGUACCCUGCUAAGUUGUAGAAAAGAAGGAGUAACUACUACUUUUCUCACCCAAGAUGGCUUUGAGACUGUCUUGGUUUUAAAACGACUGUGACUUGUGGGUCUGUUGGUAUGUAUGCAUACAGCAUAUUUGUGCUGGCUGUAUUUUAACCUUAUGUGAUUUUUUUUUUAUUAUUAUUAAACUGCA
rnacentral:lncRNA from 1 species